GAUGAACGCUGGCGGCGUGCCUAAUACAUGCAAGUCGAGCGAAUGGAUUAAGAGCUUGCUCUUAUGAUGUUAGCGGCGGACGGGUGAGUAACACGUGGGUAACCUGCCCAUAAGACUGGGAUAACUCCGGGAAACCGGGGCUAAUACCGGAUAAUAUUUUGAACUGCAUGGUUCAAAAUUGAAAGGCGGCUUCGGCUGUCACUUAUGGAUGGACCCGCGUCGCAUUAGCUAGUUGGUGGGGUAACGGCUCACCAAGGCAACGAUGCGUAGCCGACCUGAGAGGGUGAUCGGCCACACUGGGACUGAGACACGGCCCAGACUCCUACGGGAGGCAGCAGUAGGGAAUCUUCCGCAAUGGACGAAAGUCUGACGGAGCAACGCCGCGUGAGUGAUGAAGGCUUUCGGGUCGUAAAACUCUGUUGUUAGGGAAGAACAAGUGCUAGUUGAAUAAGCUGGCACCUUGACGGUACCUAACCAGAAAGCCACGGCUAACUACGUGCCAGCAGCCGCCGCCG
rnacentral:rRNA from 1 species